UGCAAGUCGAGCGGCAGCACGGGGAGCUUGCUCCCUGGUGGCGAGCGGCGGACGGGUGAGUAAUGCAUAGGAAUCUGCCCGGUAGUGGGGGAUAACCUGGGGAAACCCAGGCUAAUACCGCAUACGUCCUACGGGAGAAAGCAGGGGAUCUUCGGACCUUGCGCUAUCGGAUGAGCCUAUGUCGGAUUAGCUGGUUGGUGAGGUAAUGGCUCACCAAGGCGACGAUCCGUAGCUGGUCUGAGAGGAUGAUCAGCCACACUGGGACUGAGACACGGCCCAGACUCCUACGGGAGGCAGCAGUGGGGAAUAUUGGACAAUGGGCGCAAGCCUGAUCCAGCCAUGCCGCGUGUGUGAAGAAGGCCCUCGGGUUGUAAAGCACUUUCAGCGAGGAAGAAGGCUUGGCGGUCAAUACCCGUCAAGAAGGACAUCACUCGCAGAAGAAGCACCGGCUAACUCCGUGCCAGCAGCCGCGGUAAUACGGAGGGUGCGAGCGUUAAUCGGAAUUACUGGGCGUAAAGCGCGCGUAGGUGGUUUGGCACGCCGGUUGUGAAAGCCCCGGGCUCAACCUGGGAACGGCAUCCGGAACGGCCAGACUAGAGUGCAGGAGAGGAAGGUAGAAUUCCCGGUGUAGCGGUGAAAUGCGUAGAGAUCGGGAGGAAUACCAGUGGCGAAGGCGGCCUUCUGGCCUGACACUGACACUGAGGUGCGAAAGCGUGGGUAGCAAACAGGAUUAGAUACCCUGGUAGUCCACGCCGUAAACGAUGUCGACUAGCCGUUGGGACCUUUAAGGACUUAGUGGCGCAGUUAACGCGAUAAGUCGACCGCCUGGGGAGUACGGCCGCAAGGUUAAAACUCAAAUGAAUUGACGGGGGCCCGCACAAGCGGUGGAGCAUGUGGUUU
rnacentral:rRNA from 1 species